CAUCAUGACGAUUGCAUAACAAACAGAACGUUCAUAAAUGCCAAUAUUGCAGCACUGCAAUAAUCAAGCGUUCAAAAACACAACACUUCUAUCAGUUGUAACUCAUAAUUUCUAUCAAAAAAUUGUUUACUGCAUUUAACUACGAUGUCUGACGAAAAUGAAAAUCUCAGUAAUGCGGAGACACAGUUAUUGCUAAGAGUGCGGUUGAAUAUGGAGGACGAGUUUAAAUCGGGUAGAAGGAAAAAAAAUGUAUUGUGGAAGAAAGUUGUGACCGAAGUUAAAAAUGUAAAU